rnacentral:rRNA from 1 species
GAUGAACGCUGGCGGCGUGCCUAAUACAUGCAAGUCGAGCGAACGGACGAGAAGCUUGCUUCUCUGAUGUUAGCGGCGGACGGGUGAGUAACACGUGGAUAACCUACCUAUAAGACUGGGAUAACUUCGGGAAACCGGAGCUAAUACCGGAUAAUAUUUUGAACCGCAUGGUUCAAAAGUGAAAGACGGUCUUGCUGUCACUUAUAGAUGGAUCCGCGCUGCAUUAGCUAGUUGGUAAGGUAACGGCUUACCAAGGCAACGAUGCAUAGCCGACCUGAGAGGGUGAUCGGCCACACUGGAACUGAGACACGGUCCAGACUCCUACGGGAGGCAGCAGUAGGGAAUCUUCCGCAAUGGGCGAAGGCCUGACGGAGCAACGCCGCGUGAGUGAUGAAGAUCCUCGGAUCGUAAAACUCUGUUAUUAGGGAAGAACAUAUGUGUAAGUAACUGUGCACAUCUUGACGGUACCUAAUCAGAAAGCCACGGCUAACUACGUG